rnacentral:rRNA from 1 species
UACGUAGGGUGCAAGCGUUGUCCGGAAUUAUUGGGCGUAAAGAGCUCGUAGGCGGUUUGUUGCGUCGGCUGUGAAAUCCCGAGGCUCAACCUCGGGUCUGCAGUCGAUACGAGCAAACUAGAGUGUUGCAGGGGAGACUGGAAUUCCUGGUGUAGCGGUGAAAUGCGCAGAUAUCAGGAGGAACACCGGUGGCGAAGGCGGCGUCCUGGACCAACACUGACACUGAUGAGCGAAAGCCAGGGGAGCAAACGGG